GAUGAACGCUGGCGGCGUGCCUAAUACAUGCAAGUCGAGCGAACAGACGAGGAGCUUGCUCCUCUGACGUUAGCGGCGGACGGGUGAGUAACACGUGGAUAACCUACCUAUAAGACUGGGAUAACUUCGGGAAACCGGCGCUAAUACCGGAUAAUAUAUUGAACCGCAUGGGUCAAUAGUGAAAGACGGUUUUGCUGUCACUUAUAGAUGGAUCCGCGCCGCAUUAGCUAGUUGGUAAGGUAACGGCUUACGAAGGCAACGAUGCGUAGCCGACCUGAGAGGGUGAUCGGCCACACUGGAACUGAGACACGGUCCAGACUCCUACGGGAGGCAGCAGUAGGGAAUCGUCCGCAAUGGGCGAAAGCCUGACGGAGCAACGCCGCGUGAGUGAUGAAGGUCUUCGGAUCGUAAAACUCUGUUAUUAGGGAAGAACAAAUGUGUAAGUAACUAUGCACGUCUUGACGGUACCUAAUCAGAAAGCCACGGCUAACUACGUG
rnacentral:rRNA from 1 species